rnacentral:rRNA from 1 species
GAUGAACGCUGGCGGCGUGCCUAAUACAUGCAAGUCGAGCGAACAGACGAGGAGCUUGCUCCUCUGAUGUUAGCGGCGGACGGGUGAGUAACACGUGGAUAACCUACCUAUAAGACUGGGAUAACUUCGGGAAACCGGAGCUAAUACCGGAUAACAUGUUGAACCGCAUGGUUCAACAGUGAAAGACGGUCUUGCUGUCACUUAUAGAUGGAUCCGCGCCGCAUUAGCUAGUUGGUAAGGUAACGGCUUACCAAGGCAACGAUGCGUAGCCGACCUGACAGGGUGAUCGGCCACACUGGAACUGAGACACGGUCCAGACUCCUACGGGAGGCAGCAGUAGGGAAUCUUCCGCAAAGGGCGAAAGCCUGACGGAGCAACGCCGCGUGAGUGAAGAAGGUCUUCGGAUCGUAAAACUCUGUUAUUAGGGAAGAACAAAUGUGUAAGUAACUAUGCACGUCUUGACGGUACCUAAUCAGAAAGCCACGGCUAACUACGUG